UACGUAGGGUGCGAGCGUUAAUCGGAAUUACUGGGCGUAAAGCGUGCGUAGGCGGUUCUCCAAGUCCGUUGUGAAAGCCCCGGGCUCAACCUGGGAAUGGCAGUGGAAACUAGAGAACUUGAAUCUGGCAGAGGGGGGUGGAAUGCCACGUGUAGCAGUGAAAUGCGUAGAUAUGUGGCGGAACACCGAUGGCGAAGGCAGCCCCCUGGGCUGAGAUUGACGCUCAGGCACGAAAGCGUGGGGAGCAAACAGG
rnacentral:rRNA from 1 species